rnacentral:rRNA from 1 species
AUUGAACGCUGGCGGAAUGCUUUACACAUGCAAGUCGAACGGCAGCACGGACUUCGGUCUGGUGGCGAGUGGCGAACGGGUGAGUAAUGUAUCGGAACGUGCCCAGUCGUGGGGGAUAACGUAGUGAAAAUUACGCUAAUACCGCAUACGAUCUAUGGAUGAAAGCGGGGGAUCGCAAGACCUCGCGCGAUUGGAGCGGCCGAUAUCAGAUUAGGUAGUUGGUGGGGUAAAGGCCCACCAAGCCAACGAUCUGUAGCUGGUCUGGGAGGACGACCAGCCACACUGGAACAGAGACACGGUCCAGACUCCUACGGGAGGCAGCAGUGGGGAAUUUUGGAAAAUGGGCGAGAGCCUGAUCCAGCCAUUCCGCGUGCAGGAUGAAGGCCCUCGGGUUGUAAACUGCUUAUGUACAGAACGAAAAGGUUUCUACUAAUACUAGGAGCUCAUGACGGUACUGUAAGAAUAAGCACCGGCUAACUACGUGCCAGCAGCCGCCGUAA